UACGUAGGGUGCGAGCGUUGUCCGGAAUUAUUGGGCGUAAAGGGCUCGUAGGCGGUUUGUCGCGUCGGGAGUGAAAAUCCAGGGCUUAACUCUGGACUGGCUUCCGAUACGGGCAGACUAGAGGUAUGCAGGGGGAGAACGGAAUUCCUGGUGUAGCGGUGAAAAUGCGCAGAUAUCAGGAGGAACACCGGUGGCGAAGGCGGUUCUCUGGGCAUUACCUGACGCUGAGGAGCGAAAGUGUGGGGAGCGAACAGG
rnacentral:rRNA from 1 species